ACAGUGCAUGCGAGCAAUCAAUCGCAACACAUGCAUGAUGACCGUCUUUCACAUCAACGACCUUUAUGCGAUCAGCUGCGAGUGAUAAGACCUCCAUAAAUUCGACCUAUUUAUCUUAAUUAACAACCAGCUAAACCAGAAUGUCUCGUUACGAUGGAGGUGGCGGUGGUGGUGGUGGUAGGUCCUCUGCUGAAAGGGGCUGUAAAGUGUACAUCGGAAACCUUGGAGAAUCUGCCAACAAGUCUGAAAUUGAGAAACUAUUUGGUACUUUUGGACCCUUGAAGAAUGUCUGGAUUGCUAGGAAUCCUCCAGGCUUCGCGUUCGUAGAGUAUGACGAUCCAAGAGAUGCAUCCGAUGCAGUAAAGGAUAUGGAUUCAAGGACCAUCUGUGGAGAGAGGGCUCGUGUGGAACUAGCUCGGGGUGAAUCAAGAAGACGAGGCUCCCGUGGAGGCGGUCGUGGCGGUGGAGGAGGUUUCCGAGGAGGGAACCGUGGUCCUCCAAGGGGAGACCGAUAUAGUGGGGAUUAUGGAAAUUUUGGAGGAGGAGGUGGAAGGCGUGGCUUCGGGGGCGGUGGUGGAGGACGCCGAAGGAGCUACUCCAGGACUCUCCUUUUAACGGCUUCACAGCCAAGUAACGCCUUGAGCCUUGUAAUGCCCUUCAGGAAUCCACCAUAAAGCUCUUCCAUUCUAUACCCUUGAGCAGCUAGUCGACGGAAUGUGAUCUUUUCAUGAUAAAGACCUGUUCGGCAGAGGGUAAAAAGAAGUCUUGCGCUUCUAGAACCCUCUUCUUCACAUUGCACCUUUACGCCAAAUCUGCACUUCAGGUUCAUUAAGUAAAAUCAGAAAAAGCUUCAAAAUUCCAGAUUCAAAAUCUCGACGAAAAAGGGGCUUCAAAAUUGGCCAGUCACCACCACCACCUUGCAAAAGCUUACUUCGAUUCAGGCCACGUCGAUUUGUGACUUCAUUUAGUAGGAGACUGCGGCCUUCAAAUUCAUAAUGGCUUCAGGGUCAUACUAGUUUCGUCAGUUCUGCACUUGGUAAAAAGAUCACGUAUACGUCAUACUGCUUUCUCCUGCGUUAGUCCUUCACUAGUCCUUCGCUAAUCCUUCACUAGGCCUUCGCUACUGACAAAAUGGGAACCUUAAGUUCCCUUUGUCCAAUUUCUUCACCCUUCUACAUGUAUUUCUACAGGCGAAAGAGGUAAUCUCGAUCGCGAUCUCGCUCACCUUUCCAAAGACGAGGUGGAGUCAGUCGUAGCAGAAGUCGAAGUCGUUAAGUGAUGAGGCGUAGUCCAUGGUCAACAUGUUGUGCUUUAAAUGUAAUGUAUUAAAAUUAUCAAGUGGAGAAUCAAACCAGCCCUUCUCUGAUUGGCUGGUUCUUGGGAAGCAUUCUUCAAACACACCAAUUACCAGCAUAAUCCUUCCUGUGGAGUAAGAGGUUGGUCUGUACAUUACAGUGUAUAUUAUAUUGCUUAAGUUUGUCCGAUUUUGAUGUCGGUCAUGGCACAAUAUUCUAGUUUUAUUUUGUGGGUGUAUGACUGUGUAAUUUGUGAGACUCUUCUCUGUGUAUUUUUUAGUCCUUUAUAUGCGUAUCAGCGUCAUUUUUUAAUACCGUUCCUGUAAGUUAUUUUAUGCAACCAUCCUCUACCUUUAAUUAAUGGAGGCUUUUGAACAGUGGAAAUAGAUUGAUUUUGAUUUCAAAUCAUGUUAUCGCGUUCCUCACACAUGGUGAAAUAUUGAAGGAAAUUCACAAAUUAUGCAUUAUAUGUGGAGUUCUUAGCCUGUGAACUAUGUUGAUAUGUAGUCAGUAGCAUUAUUAACUAUAGACCAUUUAAGGGAAUGUAUAUUGUAAGUGAUGUGUGAUUCGUACUAUUUCAGUAUCCUAAUUUCCUCACAAUAAUCUUUGGUUUUGGGAAGUCUUUAAUCUAUUGUUACAUAAAUACAUUAAAUAGAUGCAGAAUGACAUUCAUUACUGAUGUAAAAAAAUGGUUUUAAUUCUCUUAAUUGCUCUUGUUUUCUUUUUCUUUUUAUGAUUUGAGUAAAUUAAUAUUUAUGGAUUCAAAAUCGGUCGUGUGUACGAAACACAAUAAUACACUGUAUAAAUUUUCACUAAUAAUAUAUGAUCAAAGGGGGCCUCUAAAUUUAGUCCACUGUGGAUGCAAAGUUGGACUCUCACAUGUGUAUUCACAUAUCAAUUCACAUUGAUGAAUUAUCUGCUCCAUUCAGCACUAUUCACUCUGACCAAUUUAUUAUCAUGGGCCAAAUUUCCAUUUAACUGGACAAUGAAUAAAUUCCACUCAAUUCAGAUCUUGUUCAUGCAAUAUUAAGAACUUUUUUAUAUAGAUAUCAUCGAGAUGCUUUGUAUUAAAAAAAUCUUAAUAUUGCAUUAACCAAGAUAUAUUUUACUGUAUUGAAUGAGUAAAUUAGUAUGGGGAAGGGGGGGGGGGGGGGGGUGUGCAAGAAUAUGAAAACAUCAGCAUUCUUGGAAGAAAUUAAUUUACUUUUAUGGACACCAACUGCAGUUAGUCAAGUCUUGUAUUUUCAUACAUUUGGUUCUGAGUUCUGACUAUACAGAAGUUUUAAACAUCUCUUCUUAAAAAAAAAUGUUCAGGGUGUUUUUAAGGUGAUGACUGUCAGAUAUUGUAUCGAAAUACCAUUUUAUUGUAAGAUUUUGUCAUAUGAAAACCAAUAAAUAAGUUAUCACUAUCACAUUCA